AUGAAUAUCCUAGUGUGGAACUGCCGGGUGGGGGGGGGGGACCGCCGGACAAUUCGUGAGGUGUUGGCCCUCUCUAAAGCCAAUUCCCCGGGGCUUGUCUUUCUCUCGGAAACUAGACAUGCCUCUUCAAAGAUGGAGAAACUAAAGUGGAGACUGCAUAUGAAGGGUUUUGCGGGUGUAUCGAGUGAUGGACCUAGUGGAGGACUUGCGCUCCAUUGGGACGAGAAGUUGCAAGUGACAGUGUUGGAGUCCUGUGCAUGGUACACUGACGUGCGGAUAGUAGAUGUGGCAAGUGACAAGAACUGGAGAACAACGUUCGUUUAUGGUGAGCCUUGA
rnacentral:rRNA from 1 species